rnacentral:rRNA from 1 species
AUUGAACGCUGGCGGCAUGCUUUACACAUGCAAGUCGAACGGCAGCGCGGGCUUCGGCCUGGCGGCGAGUGGCGAACGGGUGAGUAAUGCAUCGGAACGUGCCCAGUAGUGGGGGAUAGCCCGGCGAAAGCCGGAUUAAUACCGCAUACGACCUGAGGGUGAAAGCGGGGGACCGAAAGGCCUCGCGCUAUUGGAGCGGCCGAUGUCGGAUUAGCUAGUUGGUGGGGUAAAGGCUUACCAAGGCGACGAUCCGUAGCUGGUCUGAGAGGACGACCAGCCACACUGGGAAUGAGACACGGCCCAGACUCCUACGGGAGGCAGCAGUGGGGAAUUUUGGACAAUGGGGGCAACCCUGAUCCAGCCAUGCCGCGUGCGGGAAGAAGGCCUUAGGGUUGUAAACCGCUUUUGUUCGGGAAGAAAUCCUCUGGGCUAAUACCCCGGGGGGAUGACGGUACCGGAAGAAUAAGCACCGGCUAACUACGUG